AUCACCUCGGGAUCUUGUUAAAACAGAUUUUGAUUCAGUCAGUCUGAGGUGGGACCCAAGUUCUGUAUUUUUAACAAGCUCCCAAGUGAUAUGGA
rnacentral:pre_miRNA from 1 species